AAUCUUAGAACCCUCGGUGCUAUAGACGAUCAGGGGCCCCUUGCGCGAGAUGUAGCGGCGAUUGCGCAUUUUACCCUUACCCGGGCGGAUGCCCUGGCUGUCCUUGGCCUUUUCAGCAUCAGGGAAGGCGCCGACCUGCCUGAGGAUCUUAAUGGCGGCUGCAGUCUUCUCUACGCCCUCAACGGAGUCAGACACCACAAGAGGAAGCUCCGGGACAGACUCAAUGCGGUGGCCGCGAGCGAGGACGAGAGAGGGGACGGCCGAGGCGGCGAGAGCGGAGGCGACGGCAUAGCGGCGCAAGUUGAUGUUGACGCGGCGAUGCCAGCGGCGCCAGGUCUUGGUGGGGGCGAACAUGCGGCCGCCACGGCACAUGUUGCCGAAGGCACCCUGGCCGGCGCGGUGGGUACCACCGCCAGGGACGCGAGGGAUACGAGAGACGGCGCGACCAGUGCCCCAGGACUCGGCAGAGGUCUGGUGGCCAGCGCGCUUGGAGACGGCGUAGGGCUGGCGGCUGUUCUUGGAGAGGUUGGCAUGGACAAAGCGGACGACGUCCGGCCGGAUCGGAGCCUUG
rnacentral:lncRNA from 1 species